CGGGUGAGUAACACGUAAACAACCUGCCUUCAGGAUGGGGACAACAGACGGAAACGACUGCUAAUACCGAAUAAGUUCCAAGAGCCGCAUGGCCCAUGGAAGAAAAGGUGGCCUCUACCUGUAAGCUAUCGCCUGAAGAGGGGUUUGCGUCUGAUUAGCUGGUUGGAGGGGUAACGGCCCACCAAGGCGACGAUCAGUAGCCGGUCUGAGAGGAUGAACGGCCACACUGGAACUGAGACACGGUCCAGACUCCUACGGGAGGCAGCAGUGGGGAAUCUCCCGCAAUGGGCGAAAGCCUGACGGAGCAACGCCGCGUGAGUGAUGACGGCCUUCGGGUUGUAAAACUCUGUGAUCCGGGACGAAAAGGCAGAGUGCGAAGAACAAACUGCAUUGACGGUACCGGAAAAGCAAGCCACGGCUAACUACGUGCCAGCAGCCGCGGUAAUACGUAGGUGGCAAGCGUUGUCCGGAAUUAUUGGGCGUAAAGCGCGCGCAGGCGGCUUCCCAAGUCCCUCUUAAAAGUGCGGGGCUUAACCCCGUGAUGGGAAGGAAACUGGGAAGCUGGAGUAUCGGAGAGGAAAGUGAAAUUCCUAGUGUAGCGGUGAAAUGCGUAGAGAUUAGGAAGAACACCGGUGGCGAAGGCGACUUUCUGGACGAAAA
rnacentral:rRNA from 1 species